GAUGAACGCUAGCUACAGGCUUAACACAUGCAAGUCGAGGGGCAGCAUGGUCUUAGCUUGCUAAGGCCGAUGGCGACCGGCGCACGGGUGAGUAACACGUAUCCAACCUGCCGUCUACUCUUGGACAGCCUUCUGAAAGGAAGAUUAAUACAAGAUGGCAUCAUGAGUCCGCAUGUUCACAUGAUUAAAGGUAUUCCGGUAGACGAUGGGGAUGCGUUCCAUUAGAUAGUAGGCGGGGUAACGGCCCACCUAGUCUUCGAUGGAUAGGGGUUCUGAGAGGAAGGUCCCCCACAUUGGAACUGAGACACGGUCCAAACUCCUACGGGAGGCAGCAGUGAGGAAUAUUGGUCAAUGGGCGAGAGCCUGAACCAGCCAAGUAGCGUGAAGGAUGACUGCCCUAUGGGUUGUAAACUUCUUUUAUAAAGGAAUAAAGUCGGGUAUGGAUACCCGUUUGCAUGUACUUUAUGAAUAAGGAUCGGCUAACUCCGUGCCAG
rnacentral:rRNA from 1 species